rnacentral:rRNA from 1 species
UACGGGAGUGGCAAGCGUUAUCCGGAAUUAUUGGGCGUAAAGCGUCCGCAGGCGGCCUUGUAAGUCUGUCGUUAAAGCGUGGAGCUCAACUCCAUUUAAGCGAUGGAAACUGUGAGGCUAGAGUGUGGUAGGGGCAGAGGGAAUUCCCGGUGUAGCGGUGAAAUGCGUAGAUAUCGGGAAGAACACCAGUGGCGAAGGCGCUCUGCUGGGCCAUAACUGACGCUCAUGGACGAAAGCCAGGGG